rnacentral:rRNA from 1 species
AGGACGAACGCUGGCGGCGUGCUUAACACAUGCAAGUCGAACGGAAAGGCCCUUCGGGGUACUCGAGUGGCGAACGGGUGAGUAACACGUGAGCAAUCUGCCCCUAGCUCUGGGAUAGCUCCGGGAAACCGGGAUUAAUACCAGAUACAACCACUUUAGACAUCUUUUGUGGUGGAAAGGAUUCCGGCUAGGGAUGAGCUCGCGGCCUAUCAGCUUGUUGGUGGGGUAACGGCCCACCAAGGCGACGACGGGUA